GUCUACGGCCAUACCACCCUGAACGCGCCCGAUCUCGUCUGAUCUCGGAAGAUACUCAAUAAAUAUGUGUUAAGAUUAAUUGAUAAAUUAUAGGGGGAAAAAUAAAAUGCUAAACG
rnacentral:rRNA from 1 species